GCUCAUCAUUUCCCCACCGAGCUAUUCGAGAAGCAACGGCGGCUCGAGGGCAGUGGGGGUGGGUUGUCGGCCGGAGCCUCGCCGGAGCGCUGCAUCGCCGUAUAACUCGCCGACGAGCUCGUGCUGCCUGAUUCUAUCAGGUUCAGAGGGUGUGCCGGAGGUGGAUGAUCACCAGCAGCAUCGAUUGCAAUGAAGACUCUGGCAGCAAGAUCGCCAUUGGUGGCGCUAGCCCUGUGCCUAUGCCUCUCGUUUGCGUUCGCGUCGAGGGAUGUGGAAGAGGUAGGAUGGAGGACAGCAGAAGGUCGGGCGGAAUGGGGAAAAGGGCAUUCCGGCGACGGUGGCCGGCCGUACUACUUCGGCGAGGAAAGCUUCCGUGAGUGGUCGCGCACGCCUCUCGGCCACUUCAAGCUGCUAGAGCGGUUCGACGACAAACUGCUGCGUGGCUCCGUGGGCGACUACCGCGUGGCGUACCUGGAAGUGGCGCCGCGCGCGUUCCUGCAGCCCAGCCACUUCGACGCCGACAAGGUCUUGUACGUGAAGGAAGGCGAGGGCGUGCUGGUGCUGCUGAGGAAGGGGAGGCGGGAGUCGUUGUGCUUGAGGGAAGGCGACGUGAUGGUCAUCCCGGCCGGCUCCAUCCUGUACUCCGCCAACACACACCGCUCCAAGUGGCUCCGCGUCGUCAUGCUCCUCAACUACGCCAGCUUUGAGGAAUUCUUCCCUGUUGGAGGCGAGGGCCCGGAUUCUUACUUGAGCGCCUUCAGCGACGAGGUUCUCCAGGCGGCAUUCAAUUCGCGCCGGGAUGAACUGGAGAGAGUGUUCGAGAGGCAGAGCAAGGGGGAGAUAUGGCAGGCGUCGGAGGAGCAGAUCCAGGAGCUGAGCAGGUUGUGCUCCAGGGGCGGCGGGGGCUCAGGCUCCAAGGAGGAGGAAAUCAAGCCGACCAGCCUCCUCGGCCAGAAGCCCCGCUACUCAAACAACAACGGCAGGAUGCACGUGAUCACCGGCGACGAGUGCCGCCACCUCCGUGACCUCGACAUGGAAGUCGGCAUCGCCAACAUCACCAGCGGGUCGAUGAUGGCACCGAGAUACACCACCCGCGCGACCACGAUCGCCGUGGUCGUGGAGGGGAGAGGCUACUUCGAGAUGGCGUGCCCGCACAAGUCCGACUCCGGCCGGUCGGAGCGCCGCGAGCAUGGCAGUGAGGAGCAGCAGAUGAUGAAAUCGAGAGGGUACAAGCAAGUGACGGCCCAGAUCAAGGAGGGGUCGGUCAUCGUGCUCCCGGCGGGCUACCCGGCGACGUUCGUGGCCGGGAACGAUGGGAACCUGGCCGUGGUCUGCUUCGGCGUGGGCUCUGGCAACGACGAGGAGGUGUUCCUGGCGGGCGGCAACAGCUUGCUGAAGCAGCUGGACCCGCCGGCCAAGGCGAUCGUGUUCGGUGAACAGGGCAGGGAGGCGGCAGACAGGGUCAUCGGCGCGCAGACGGAGUCCGUGUUCCUACACGGCCCGCAGCAGCAGAGCCGUGGCUGCGUCUCCAACAUGUGAGUGGUAGUGCGACGAUCUAGAGCGAGGUUUUGUGCGCAGCGCGCAUGCAGUUCGAUCAGGUAGCCGCUGGAAUAAGUAGCAGCUGGCACGUACCCGCCGAGCCAGCUGAGAAGAUGCUAAGUACUGUAUGUAUGAGCAGGAAGUAUAUUGCUACUGUAACGGUGGAGCUAAAGGAAGGCCUUCUGGAACAGUUUUUUUUCAUGAAAUGGAACCCUUUAUAGGCAAACAAGGACUGCCAGUUUGCCUAAACAGAGGUGUUGUUGAAUUAAUUGCUGACCAUGUAGUU